rnacentral:rRNA from 1 species
UACGUAGGGGGGCGAGCGUUGUCCGGAUUUAUUGGGCGUAAAGAGCGUGUAGGCGGUUCGGUAAGUCUGUCGUGAAAUCCUGAGGCUCAACCUCGGAGGUGCGAUGGAUACUGCCGGGCUAGAGGGUGGUAGAGGCGAGUGGAAUUCCCGGUGUAGCGGUGAAAUGCGCAGAUAUCGGGAGGAACACCAGUAGCGAAGGCGGCUCGCUGGGCCACACCUGACGCUGAGACGCGAAAGCUAGGGGAGCGAACAGG